rnacentral:pre_miRNA from 1 species
UGGAUAGAUUAUUGUAUUCGACUGUAUUCACGACGUGAAAUAGGGGAUUACACUGUUUUUAAAACGAAAAGUGAAUCAAUUAACAUAAUAGACUCCU